AUUUGGUUGAGUCGCUGCAGACCGAGCAGCAGUGCAGUGCAGCCGGGCAGACGGUAGCCACGGAGCCGCUGUUCGAGCAAAUGAAGCCACCGUCCCUGGAUAACAUGUCUCCUCUAGUGAUUAUUCGCAACGUAUAAAGCUUGUCGGUGCUGAUUUGACCAAUUUGUGACGGUACGCGUCGCCGCUUCCCCGUUUAUCCCUCCCCCCUCUACCGCCUCUUGGAACAGCACCUACCGGAGGCUGAAUGGAAGCCGAGGGAGCGGUCGGGCUGUCGGAGGCCAGGGACUGCAGCCCUCUUUCCGGGGCCGCAUCAUCUGAUGAUGCUGACACGGUCGUCGGGGUGAGCUACGGAAUGGACGCCGGAGACAUGGAUGCGGCAGCAAGGAAAGCUUUCAUCACGGAGAUGCCGUCCUCCUCAGGCCUUCCCGGUCAGGGGAAGAAAAUCGGCCACAGAGGGGUGGAUGCUUCCGGCGAAACCACUUAUAAAAAGACCACAUCGUCUGCCCUGAAAGGAGCCAUCCAGCUCGGCAUCGGUUACACGGUGGGCAACCUGAGCUCCAAGCCUGAGAGGGAUGUGUUGAUGCAGGACUUCUACGUAGUGGAGAGCAUCUUCUUCCCCAGCGAAGGGAGCAACCUCACUCCUGCCCAUCACUUCCCAGACUUUCGCUUCAAAACCUACGCGCCUGUGGCCUUCCGCUACUUCCGAGAACUGUUUGGCAUCAGGCCGGAUGACUACUUGUACUCCCUGUGUAACGAGCCACUGAUCGAGCUGUCCAAUCCCGGCGCGAGCGGCUCUGUCUUCUAUCUCACCAAGGAUGACGAGUUCAUCAUCAAGACGGUCAUGCACAAGGAGGCGGAGUUCCUCCAGAAGCUGCUGCCGGGCUAUUACAUGAACUUGAAUCAAAACCCUCGCACUCUGCUGCCCAAAUUCUUCGGCCUCUACUGCGUCCAGUCGGGCGGCAAGAACAUCCGCGUGGUGGUGAUGAACAACGUGCUGCCCCGCGUCGUCCGCAUGCAUCUCAAAUACGACCUGAAGGGCUCCACCUACAAGAGGCGAGCCUCCAAGAAGGAACGCGAGAAGGCCCGGCCCACGUUCAAAGACCUGGACUUCAUGCAGGACCUGCAAGACGGACUCAUGCUGGACCAGGACACGUACAACGCGCUGGUCAAGACGCUGCAGAGGGAUUGUUUGGUGCUGGAAAGCUUCAAGAUCAUGGACUACAGCCUCCUGCUGGGAGUUCACAACAUGGACCAGGCGGAGCGCGAGCGGCAGAUGGAAGGCUCCCAAGGCGACAGCGACGAGAAACGGCCCCUGGCCCAGCAGAAGGCUCUCUAUUCUACCGCCAUGGAGUCCAUCCAAGGCGGGGCCGCCUGCGGGGAGUCCAUUGACACCGAAGACACGAUGGGUGGCAUCCCCGCCGUCAACGGGAAAGGGGAACGACUUUUGCUCUACAUUGGCAUCAUUGACAUCUUGCAGUCGUACAGGUUAAUCAAGAAACUGGAGCACACGUGGAAGGCUUUGGUGCACGACGGGGACACUGUUUCGGUCCACCGGCCUGGAUUCUACGCCGACAGGUUCUUCAAGUUCAUGAGCAGCACCGUUUUCAGAAAGAGCUCCUCUCUGAAGUCAUCUCCGUCCAAGAAGGGCCGCGUGUCACUUACGGUGCCAAAGUGUGGCGGUCCCGGCGCGGCCUGGUCUGCCAGCCUGCUGCCCUCCGAGAGAGACGAGAACAUCUACGACCUGAGAGGUGCUCGCAGUUUCCCGACGCUGGAAGACGAAGGACGAGCUGAUCUUCCCUGCACGCCUCCAUCUUUUGAGGAGGCCACCACGGCGUCCAUCGCCACCACCCUCUCCUCCACCACCUCUCUGUCCAUCCCUGAAAGAUCUCCCUGUGACACCGCCGAGCACCCGCGCUACAGGAGGCACACUCAGUCUCUCAGCCACGAUGGAAGGACUCAGGAGGAGCUGCGUGUGCGCGAGGAGGACCAGCAGACCAUCACGGUGGAGGUGGAAUUAAAGAGACACGACAGUGACCCCACCAUCUCCAUUCCGCAGCCUUCGCCUGAAACCUGCAGCGAGGCUCAAGAGGCUGCCGCUGCACUUUCCACUUCUUCUCCAGCCCCCGAAGCGUCCUCCUCGCCCUCCGCCGUCGCACCUGUUUCUGCCGAGGCAUCCGGGGCCACUCCGUCCAGUCCGAAGCCGGCGGUGGCGGCGGAAACAGCCAGCCACGCGUCGGGCUCGGGGUGCACCAGCCAGGCUUCAGUGGAUGACGAGGACGACGUCCCGAUCACAGACAUCUACUUUAAGUGUUGACAGACGGGGGCGGCAUAAUGGUGGACCGUGGCACUCUUAAGUGGCCUCCAGAGGACAAGACCUGGGUUUACUCUCCGCUACACUAUGGCUCAGAGUCUAAGGCCCUGCCAGAUGGGGAUUGGGAAAGAGAGACAUAAACCCCGUCAUGUGACUGAAAGGCAUGAAGUGGAUCGUCCGGACAAAGCCCAAAACCUCCUUCCUCAACGGUCGAAGUGCAAUCUUUUUGUCUCAAGAGGGGAGAGAACUCAACGGACUGGCGUAGCCGAGAGGUCCCCGCCAUUUACAUAUGAUACGUGUGUUUCCGUGUGGCAUAGUACAAGUAUGCUCGUGCGUUAUAUGUUUUUGACAUGACACACACACACAUAUGGGCUCGUCUUCAGUUGCCACGAGGUGGCUCUGUGGUUGCCAUUGUCGAUUGUGUAUAAAAGACAUGCCAUUCGCCUUUUAUGUGGUCACAUAGUGAUCCUCUAGUUCAGGCGUCACCAACUCCGGUACUCGAUGGCCCCUAAGUUGUAUGUUUAAAAUGUUUCCCUCCUCCGAAACACCCGAGUCCAAUGAUCAACUCAUUAGAAGCCUGAUAACAAACUGGAUCGUGUGAAUCAGGUGUGAAGGAGAGGGUAAAUAUAUACCCCCCCCCCUUGAAUAAAAAAAUACUACUACUAAUAAUAAUAAUUGGAUAUAAUAAUAAUAUAUAUAUAUUGGAUAUGAUUGGACAUGUCACUCACAACAGGACAAACCAAAAAGUCUCAAGGAUCAAUGUAGGACAUUUUUCAGGCAGUCAGCCAUUUCUAACUGUAAUGCCCCUGGAAGGUUUGAGGGGAGGGGGGGGGGGGCGGGGAUGAAUAAAUAAUCAUAAAACAACCCCCGACACUGCUUUCAUCAGUUGAAACUACAUUGGUUGGACAUGUCUGUCAUAACAGAACACAGAAAAAGGUCUCAAGGACCCAUGCCCAAAUUGAAUAGAACGUCUGCCGUUUUGGUUUGAUGCAGACAGUUUGUGUCAAGUCCGCAGGUCAUAUUUGGACAAACUCUUCCUCUGGAAUUUGCCCAAAGGAGCCCUAAUUGGAAGCUUCUUUUUGUAAGACAAAUAGGCGAUCCAAAAUGACAACGCUUUUUGCAUAUGCUCUCCAUUGUGGGUUGAUUCUGGUGUCCAAUUUUUGAUAACCGUUUUGACUAUUUUCCAUCAUAAAGGGGUUUUUCGUAGCUUGAAGUGUUAUUAUUGCCAUCAAAUGGGAUAGGAUCCAUUGUUCUCCAUUGGCAUGAUUGCCAAAAAAGUUGGAUACUCUUCAUGUUCAGUAUUCUCCAUUGGCAUCUUCCCUGCUGAGUGACUAAUUUUCCUUUAUUUUAGUUUGAUUUGCCAGUGCAGUACUUGACAGCAAAUACUCAAAUGUUACUAAGAACUGUUGCAUGAAUAAAAUUGAUUGAGACUUAUUUUUUAAAAAAAGUUUUAUGAUGGUGACAGUUUGACCUGGGAACAGAUUAUUUCAUUAUUUCCGGUAGGAAAAUCGAUAGAAAGAUUGUGAUCAACGUCGGUGGUUUGGUUGUAUUUUAACGGACCCUCACAAAUGCUCACCUGUCAUUUAUUUUUGUAAUGUUUUUAUGUGCAACAGACGCCCGCGCAUUGCUCACGAUGUCUAUUCAAUCUACCGUCAUCACAGAUGCAAAGCAUAGCAGCAAUAUUUUGUGCAGUUCUCGCCUCCUUUUCCUUUCAGAUUGCCUUAUUAGAUGAUUUUGAUCUUGGAUCUUUCACUUUCACCGUCCUAUUUAUUUUUCUUUUCCCAUCAUUGUGCUCCUUAGAACGUGUACAUAAAAAAAAGAAUAUACAGUAUAUAUAGAGAGAAAGAUAGAGAUAUAUUUUCCAUUGGAAAUGGAGAAUGUUAUUUUUUUUUGGUUUUAUUUUUGCUGCUUGGCCUAGAGACGAUUGCAAUCUGUGUCGUUUGCUGAGUUAUGUUCCUCGAAACUGAGAAGGAGCUGCAUGCAGCUGUUGGGUGAAUUUUACUGAACAUGCAAACCAGUAGGGAUUCUUCCAACUUGUUCAACAUGUGUUUUGUGUGCGUGUGUGUGUCAUCCAAUAGAAAGAGUCCUUUACAGAGACAUAGCAUGGUAUUAAAAAAAAACUACUGUAAUGCAUAUCAGAAAUGUGUAUUUAUGUAUAUCUGUGUAUAUUCAUCUAUUUAUACCUGAGCAUAAAUAGAUGGCUGUAUAUGUGUGCGUGUCUGUGUGUCUGUCUGUCUUUGGACUCAAUCAGAAUGAAUGCAAAAUAAAGCAGUUCUAUGAAUUGU